CAAUAGCGUAUAUUAAAGUUGUUGCAGUUAAAAAGCUCGUAGUUGGAUUUCUGGUCGGAAGCUCCUGUCCUCUGAUGAGCGUACAAGUGCGUCCUACCAUCCUUCUGUUAACCUUUAAGGCUUUCGCGGCUUUCUAGGGGCUCAGAUAUUUUACCUUGAGAAAAUUAGAGUGUUUCAGGCAGGCUAGCGCCGGAAUACAUUAGCAUGGAAUAAUGGAAUAGGACUUUUGCCUCUUCUGUUGGCCAUGAGGCUCGAGUAAUGAUUAAUAGGGAUAGUUGGGGGCAUUAGUACUUAACUGUCAGAGGUGAAAUUCUCGGAUUUGUUAAAGACUAACUUAUGCGAAAGCAUUUGCCAAGGAUGUUUUCAUUAA
rnacentral:rRNA from 1 species